rnacentral:tRNA from 1 species
GGCGCUAUAGCCAAGUGGUUACGGCGACAGAUUAGAAUUUGGUUGAGUUGGAUCCUAACUCCCAACUUCAUCUGUUCCUCUUUGAGGGCGCAGGUUCAAAUCCUGCUGGCGUCG